AUCUACAGCCAUGCAACCCUGAAUGCACCGAUCUUGUCUGAUCUUGGAAGCCAAGCAGGGUAGGGCCCGGUUCGUACUUGAACGGGAGAAUGAACCUUGUUUUGGAGAUGACUGGAAACUUCAGAUC
rnacentral:rRNA from 1 species